UACGUAGGGUCCAAGCGUUGUCCGGAAUUAUUGGGCGUAAAGGGCUCGUAGGCGGUUUGUCGCGUCGGGAGUGAAAACCUCGGGCUUAACUCGGGGCUUGCUUUCGAUACGGGCAGACUAGAGGUAUGCAGGGGAGAACGGAAUUCCUGGUGUAGCGGUGAAAUGCGUAGAUAUCAGGAGGAACACCUGUGGUGUAGACGGCUCUCUGGACAGUAACUGACGCUGAGACACGAAAGCGUGGGUAGCAAACAGG
rnacentral:rRNA from 1 species